UUUUAAAAAACAAUGCCACCAAUAUCAUUUACUUAAAUGAAUUAUAAAGUUAAAAUAUUUAAAAUACACCAACAAACAAAUAAGAAAUUACAAACAUUUCCAUUCAAUAAAUUUCAAAAUUACAUGAAUUUUGCUUUCGUUUCAACUCAAUACUAACUUCUUCAAAUUACGUCAUUAUUAUCACAUAGGCAUAAUCUGCAAUCAAAUGAGCCUUUUAGUCCCGACCACUCAUUCACAUGGUUGUACAUGUCUUUAACCUGCAAAAAUAAUACAAAUCA
rnacentral:lncRNA from 1 species